UACGUAGGGUGCAAGCGUUAAUCGGAAUUACUGGGCGUAAAGCGUGCGCAGGCGGUGAUGUAAGACAGUUGUGAAAUCCCCGGGUUCAACCUGGGAACUGCAUCUGUGACUGCAUCGCUGGAGUGCGGCAGAGGGGGAUGGAAUUCCGCGUGUAGCAGUGAAAUGCGUAGAUAUGCGGAGGAACACCGAUGGCGAAGGCAAUCCCCCUGGGCCUGCACUGACGCUCAUGCACGAAAGCGUGGGGAGCAAACAGG
rnacentral:rRNA from 1 species